rnacentral:rRNA from 1 species
UACGUAGGGCGCAAGCGUUGUCCGGAAUUAUUGGGCGUAAGAGCUCGUAGGCGGCUUGUCACGUCGGAUGUGAAAGCCCGGGGCUUAACCCCGGGUCUGCAUUCGAUACGGGCAGGCUAGAGUUCGGUAGGGGAGAUCGGAAUUCCUGGUGUAGCGGUGAAAUGCGCAGAUAUCAGGAGGAACACCGGUGGCGAAGGCGGUUCUCUGGGCCUUACCUGACGCUGAGGAGCGAAAGCGUGGGGAGCGAACAGG